ACGGCACAGAGUUUUACCCGCAUGGACCUGUGCCGGGCAGGACACGGGAGCUGGCGUCCGCCUCGUCGAGGCGAGUGUCACAGGGAAGCCUGUUCUGGAUCCCUCACCUGAGGUCCAAGGCACUGAGCUACGCCCGGCUGGGGGCACAGGGCUGGGCCGAACUUUUCAGAAAGAGGGGAUGGCUCAGCAUGGGAGAGACUGACAGCAAUCAGCACCUCUUGGAAGACUUGGCCCAGAACCUCGCAGGAAACGGGCAAAGGCCUUUCAGAUCGAUCUGGAACCGACACAAGCACACUGAAUCACCACGAAGACCAAAGUGGUGACGGAGCCCUGAAGACCAAAGAGCGUGGAGAGGCUGCUAUGACCUCACAGCCCAGGUAAGUCUUAAAAAGCCAUGGUACCCAAUGGAAUACUACGUGCCAAUGAGAAAGAAUGAAAUCUGGCCCUUUGCAGCAACGUGGUUGGAACUGAAGAGUGUUGUACUAAGUGAAAUAAGCCAUACAGAGAAAGACAGAUACCAUAUGUUUUCACUGUUAUGUGGAUCCUGAGACACUUAACAGAAGACCAUGGGGGAGGGGAAGGGGAAAAAAAAGUUAUAAAGAGGGAAGGAGGCAAACCAUGAGAGACUCUUAAAAACUGAGAACAAACUGAGGGUUGGUGGGGGGUGGGAGGGAGGGGAGGGUGGGGGAGGGGCAUUGAGGAGGGCACCUGUUGGGAUGAGCACUGGGGUUGUAUGGAAACCAAUCUGACAACAAAUUUCAUGUUAAAAAAAAAAAAAAAGCCAUGGUAACCUGACAAAAUGCGGUGUGCUUGCCUAGCCUGGGUCCUGGGGACUGAAAGUCCAUUUUUAUAGAAAACGUGGUUUAUUCCAAGUAAGAUCCUCAGUUUAGUUAAUAGUCAUGUGCCAAGGUCAAUUCCUUAGUUCUGACAACUACACUGUGAUCAUGGAAGAUCCGUAAAGGGCAUGCUACGGGAACGCUAAUAUUUUUGGAACUUGCUUGUUAAAGCUAAAAUUUACCCAAAAUAAAUUUAAUAUUAAAAAAAAUGUAGGCCUUGGA
rnacentral:lncRNA from 1 species